rnacentral:rRNA from 1 species
AUUGAACGCUGGCGGCAGGCCUAACACAUGCAAGUCGAGCGGAUGAAGGGAGCUUGCUCCUGGAUUCAGCGGCGGACGGGUGAGUAAUGCCUAGGAAUCUGCCUGGUAGUGGGGGAUAACGUCCGGAAACGGGCGCUAAUACCGCAUACGUCCUGAGGGAGAAAGUGGGGGAUCUUCGGACCUCACGCUAUCAGAUGAGCCUAGGUCGGAUUAGCUAGUUGGUGGGGUAAAGGCCUACCAAGGCGACGAUCCGUAACUGGUCUGAGAGGAUGAUCAGUCACACUGGAACUGGGACAAGGUCCAGACUCCUAAGGGAGGCAGCAGUGGGGAAUAUUGGACAAUGGGCGAAAGCCUGAUCCAGCCAUGCCGCGUGUGUGAAGAAGGUCUUCGGAUUGUAAAGCACUUUAAGUUGGGAGGAAGGGCAGUAAGUUAAUACCUUGCUGUUUUGACGUUACCAACAGAAUAAGCACCGGCUAACUUCGUG